CAGGAAAUGCAGCUCGAUGCAGGCGCCGAGGGGGAUUCUGCAGGUUUCUUGGCUGCAGCUCGCCUGCAAAACGGAUUGGAAGAUGUUCAUCAGUCAGUCUGUGCUGCAAAAUUAACUGGGUUUGAGACCCUGAAAUUCCCAAGCAAGACAUCCACUCACUUCUGGCUGGUGGACCCACCUGAUGAUGUCCCCACCUCCGGAUGUCCCCUGCCCUCCCUGGCUGUGCGGUGCCCAGCGGGGGUGACAGCAGCAGUGGCAGCUGCUCCUGCUGGGUGCUGCUGGGCUGCAGCCCUGUGGUGCCAGCCCCGGUGUCUUUGGGCCAGGGGCUGCUUUUCCCGGCUUGAAUAAAGACGAGCACUUUGGCAUUGCA